UAGCAUGGGAACCAUCAACCAGCAGGCCAUGGACCAACUUCAGUAUCCUUUUUUGUGGUCCAGAACAGCAGUAAACCUAGAAAAUAACAGCUUCAUUUUUUCACCAAGUACAGAGGCAGACAGACAGGUACUGAAGAAUUCGUAAGUCCUCUCUUUAAUAAAUCUCAUUAUGCUGAACAUCUCAUUCUAUCUCAAUCUCCAUCUGAACUUCAAGUCUUCCCAGUUACAUGUAUCCUUAGAUACUCAGCCACCCAAGACUCUGUAUAUCCUCUAUCUGACUUAAUCUCCUAUCCCUGUCCAAACCCUCAAUGUCCUCUAGAACUCAUGGUCUCACUUCUGCAACUCUCUAUAUUCUUAUCAUCUGCUCUAAGUGUUGCCUUCUAACUGAUACCUAGCUAUACACUAUAGAUACUAUUUCUCCUACAGACCUCCACAGUGGUCUUAUGUGAUGACUAUUUUUUAUCCCAUACCUUGCAUAUCAUAAGUGUAAGAGAUGAGUUAGGUAUCCUCCUUGCUCCAUAUUAGAGUUAUGGACAUUUUCUCAUUCCUUUACCAUUAAAAAGAGAAUCUUCUUUAAUAUAUAUGCCCUCAGACUACACCACUAUUCUUUGUUGCAAUUAUCUAGCAAUGUUCCAAUAAAUACAUCCUUCAUUCAUUAAAGAUUUUAGCUCCUAGUGUCUUUUUAGAGAACAGCAACCAAUAGACAAUUAUUUAACACCCUGGUGUCUCAGUUCCAUCACCUUAUUGGAACUCUCCACCCUUAUUGUCAUUCUCCACUCUCACACAUUACUUAACCUAGUUCAUUAUCAAUGACCUCACCAUUUCCAUUAGCUUAGUUUCAAGCGUUAUACUGAAUUAGAUUUCAUCAAGAUCACCUUCAUAUUCCUAUAUGUAAUGCACAGUUCUCACCUCAUUUGAUCUUCCAAUCUUCCAUAAGCCUUUUAUUUCUCUAGGAGCAUUUCAUAAAUUUGAUCCCUUCCACCUUUCUGAAAUACUUGUUUCACUUGGAAUUGGUUCCUAUUAGAAUACCACAUUUCCUAAUUUUCCACCUUCCUUAUUGGUAGACUUUUUCAGAUUAUUUUACUCUAUCCUCUUUCUCCUUUUAGCCUCUAAAUAUUAUAACACUUCAGUUCUUGUGCCUCUUUUCUUUUUCUACUUUCAGUCCUCAGAUGAUCACAUCCAGCUUCAAGGCUUUCAGUAGCACCAAUAUGUUUAUCACCAUCAAAUCUGUAUUCCGAAGCAUGAGCAAAUUCAAACUUUUGUAUCCAGCUUCUGAUGCAACAUCUCCAUUCAGAUGUGUAAGAGACAUCUUGAGCCUAAAGUGUACAGAACAAAACUUAAUUUUCCUGUCCAAAACAACUCCUUCCCAGUCUUUCUAAUCACAAUAAAUUCCCACAUCAUUCAUAGAAGUGCUCAGAUCAAGAACUUAGGAAUCAUCUUGGAUGAUUCCAUUCCUUAUGUUUUGGAAAUUAUUAAUCAUCAAACUCCUUCAGUUCUACUAUCAAAGUUAUUUCUCUAGACUAGCCAAUUCUCACUACUUCCUCCAUUGCCUCUCAUCUUGGUUAUCUUUUCAACUACCUAAUUGUUUUUUGUAUUAGUUUUGUUUGUUUGUUUGUUUGUUUUUGCAUACACACUUGACUCACAGAUGCAAUGCCAGCCAGUAUGAUUUUAAAAAAAAAAACCAUACUAUAUCCUCUCUUCACUUAAUACCCACCAAUGACUUCCCAUUAACUUUCUAUUAAAUUUCAAACUUCUUACUUUGGUUUACAGAGCUUGCAUAUCCCAACCUCUAUUUAUUUUAAGGCUUCUGCCCUACCACACUGGAUUUCUUGAUAUAUGUUGUACACACUCAGUAAUUUCCUAUCUAAGGGGCUUGCAGGGUCUGUGAUCUCUGUCUGCAAUGUUCCUUCGAUAGAUUUGUACAUGAUUGGUUUCUUCAAUUCAUUCAGAUCACUGCUCAACUACAAUGUCAGAGAUAAUUUACCUGGAAAACUACAUAAAUCAGCACCACAUGCAGAUACACACGGUUAUUCUCUGCCUUCCUUAUUGGUAGAUUUGGGAGACACCAGAGUAUUAGAUGAAAGUCUACUGGUUGCUAGUUUCUAAAAAUACACUAGGAGCUAGUUGCCCAGUUCAUUUUCCUUCAAGACAAUUGUUAUCAAUACCUGAUAAUUUAUUAUAUUUUUGUUUACCUGUUCAUUGUUUGUCUCCAUCAUUAGAAUGUAAGCUCUAUAAUGGUAGCAUUGUCUCAUUCAUUACAGCGUUCUUAGUCCCUGGGGCAGUGCUUGGUUCAUAGUAGGUGCUCAAUAAAUGUUUAUGAGUGAAUGAAUUCUGUAAAUAAAUGUUUGUGAAUGAAUGAAUGAAUGAGCUAAUAAAAAGAAACCAAAUUAUUUUAGGUAAGCAUUAGGAUAAAAUGUAGUAUAAAGAGUGGCAUUUUCUGUAGUUUUCUUAAUUUAGCAUCUCAGCUAUGUGACAGAGCUGACAGAUCGAAUCAAGGCAAACUCCUCACCUGGUAACAAUUCUGUAGAUGACUCAGCUGACUUUGUGAGCUUUUUUCCAGCAUUUGUGUGGACUCUCAGAGAUUUCACCCUGGAACUGGAAGUAGAUGGAGAACCCAUCACUGCUGAUGACUACCUGGAGCUUUCGCUAAAGCUAAGAAAAGGUACUGACAAAAAAAGUAAAAGCUUUAAUGAUCCUCGGUUGUGCAUCCGAAAGUUCUUCCCCAAGAGGAAGUGCUUCGUCUUCGAUUGGCCCGCUCCUAGGAAGUACCUUGCUCACCUAGAGCAGCUAAAAGAGGAAGAGCUGAACCCUGAUUUCAUAGAACAAGUUGCAGAAUUUUGUUCCUACAUCCUCAGCCAUUCCAAUGUCAAGACUCUUUCAGGUGGCAUUCCAGUCAAUGGGCCUCGUCUAGAGAGCCUGGUGCUGACCUAUGUCAACACCAUCAGCAGUGGGGAUCUGCCCUGCAUGGAGAACGCAGUCCUGGCCUUGGCCCAGAUAGAGAACUCAGCUGCAGUGGAAAAGGCUAUUGCCCACUAUGAACAGCAGAUGGGCCAGAAGGUGCAGCUGCCCACGGAAACCCUCCAGGAGCUGCUAGACCUGCACAGGGACAGUGAGAGAGAGGCCAUUGAAGUCUUCAUGAAGAACUCUUUCAAGGAUGUGGACCAAAUGUUCCAGAGGAAAUUAGGGGCCCAGUUGGAAGCAAGGCGGGAUGACUUUUGUAAGCAGAAUUCGAAAGCAUCAUCAGAUCGUUGCAUGGCUUUACUUCAGGAUAUAUUUGGCCCUUUAGAAGAAGAUGUCAAGCAGGGAACAUUUUCUAAACCAGGAGGUUACCGUCUCUUUACUCAGAAGCUGCAGGAGCUGAAGAAUAAGUACUACCAGGUGCCAAGGAAGGGGAUACAGGCCAAAGAGGUGCUGAAAAAAUACUUGGAGUCCAAGGAGGAUGUGGCUGAUGCACUUCUACAGACUGAUCAGUCACUCUC
rnacentral:sRNA from 1 species